rnacentral:lncRNA from 1 species
GUGAAUAAAAAAGGCUCUAAAAAAAAUCUCACGAGACUCCUAAAACUGAGAGGGACUAAAGUUGGUCAAGAUUAGCCGCACAAAUCUCAAAGGCAUAAAGUGGAUAAGUAAUUAAUACUCGUGGAACUUCACAAAGUAGAAAAUUGGCAAAGUUGAAAAGAAAAACAAGAAGUCUGGAACCCUUAAAAAAGAACGAGUACCAAAUCAA